rnacentral:rRNA from 1 species
UACAGAGGGGGCAAGCGUUGUUCGGAAUUACUGGGCGUAAAGGGCGCGUAGGCGGCCUGCUAAGUCGAACGUGAAAUCCCCGGGCUCAACCCGGGAACUGCGUCCGAUACUGGUUGGCUUGAAUCCGGGAGAGGGAUGCGGAAUUCCAGGUGUAGCGGUGAAAUGCGUAGAUAUCUGGAGGAACACCGGUGGCGAAGGCGGCAUCCUGGACCGGCAUUGACGCUGAGGCGCGAAAGCCCAGGGGAGCAAAGCGGG